UCCCUGGUGGCUCAGAGGGUAAAGCAUCUGCCUGCAAUGCAGGAGACCCAGGUUCAAUCCCUGGGUUGGGAA
rfam:TPA: Bos taurus chromosome 7, whole genome shotgun sequence.